rnacentral:lncRNA from 1 species
GAGGAGAGUGAGAUGUAAGGAUGUUCUACUACUUGCCCAAAAUAGCACUAAUAGUUUACGUUGAUUUCAAAUUCAAGAAAUAUAUUUGUAUCCUAGAGAACUUCCAGAAAUCUGGGACAUUCUUGUGACUGGCAUUGUUUUGCAACUGUCCGGCAUAAUUAGUUUGUUUCCAGUGUUUCAUACUAGCAAAUAAUGCUUUAAUGAGUAUCCUCAUAUUCACACUUGAUUUUUUUUUUCUUAGAAUGGCUUCCAAGAAGUGUAAUGAAUAUCCUACUUCUGGGUUGAAGGGUAUGCAUGUUUUAAAGAGCUAGAGAAAUCUUUCCUUAACAUACAAGUAAGAGAACAGCCCUUAAGGAAUGAAGAGUCUAAGAGAAAAAAGUACAGCAUUUCCUAAAUUAUGUUAAGGGAUUGUGCUGUUUUAUCUGGUAGCCACAUCAACAGCAUUAUAUGUCUUUGGGGGUUGCUGGGGCACAAAAAGGUAGAGCAUGGAGAUAUCAAAUAAAGUUCAUUCAUUCUACUGUUGAUUUAACACCUAUAAUAAACUGAAGCAGGAAUACCAUGGUGAGUAAAAUAGACCCUUCAGUGGAACUUAUUGCUUGGGUACACAAAUCCUAUUUUAAUGGUCCGUAUACGAUAAAAUAGUAGCUUGAAUGAGGGUAGUGACAUCAGAGAUGAACUGAAAUGGAUGAAUUCAGUGAAAAAUUGGGGGAAAUCUUAUAGGAGUUUCUGAU